rnacentral:rRNA from 1 species
AAUAUUGCACAAUGGGCGCAAGCCUGAUGCAGCAACGCCGCGUGAGGGAUGACGGCCUUCGGGUUGUAAACCUCUUUUAGUAGGGAAGAAGCGCAAGUGACGGUACUUGCAGAAAAAGCACCGGCUAACUACGUGCCAGCAGCCGCGGUAAUACGUAGGGUGCAAGCGUUGUCCGGAAUUAUUGGGCGUAAAGAGCUCGUAGGCGGCUUGUCGCGUCUGCUGGGAAAUCCCAAGGCUUAACCUUGGGCCUGGAGUGGGUACGGGCAAGCUAGAGUGCGGUAGGGGAGAUUGGAAUUCCUGGUGUAGCGGUGGAAUGCGCAGAUAUCAGGAGGAACACCGAUGGCGAAGGCAGGUCUCUGGGCCGCAACUGACGCUGAGGAGCGAAAGCAUGGGGAGCGAACA